rnacentral:tRNA from 1 species
AUUAAAUUGGCAGAGUUAUGCACUAAAUUUAGAAUUUAUUUAAGUAAUUAGUAUUACAUUUAAUA